rnacentral:lncRNA from 1 species
UUCUUUCAACGGUGUCGUCCCCUCUCUUAUCCACAUUAUCGAUCUCUUCCCCCAAAUCUCGGUUCCUUCGCUGAGGGUGAGACCUCCCACUCCAUCGCCUCCCCCAUCUUCACCGCUCUAAUGGACCGCCUUCGUCUGCCUCCUCGUCAUUCACCACGACAGCACCGCGGCUCCUUGAUCCUUUAGGGCAGCGAUCUCAAUCUUCCCAGUCGGUGAAGAAAGAGGCGGCGAUGUUUUGCGGUGGGUCGACGAGAUGUAUGGGUUAUACGAAAAAAUAGAAAAUUUUUAUUUUUUCUUAUUUAUUUUUAUUAAUUGUUUUUUCGGAGCCUCUCAACUUUUAAUUGGGUAAUUUGUUUUCUUUGAUAAUUGGGAAUGUUCGUACGAAACAUAGAAUUAUGUUCUUUAAUUCUGAGUAUAAUUAUUUUUUUCCAAUUCGGACAGAAGGUACAUUUUUAUGUAAAAAAAAAAAUUAACCAUUUUUUGUACAAAAUGAUUAUUGGAUGAAUUUGAUAUUUCAAACCAAAAUGGUAAAAAAAGUUGUGUUCCUCUAUAUAUUUUUUGACAUCAGAAGCAAAACCUCGGAAUUCAGCAACCAAUACAAUGUUUAGAAAAAAAUAAAAUAAAAUAAAAAUAAAUUUGUGUAUGAAUUCAUCGACAACUUUUCGUUGGAUUUGUGAUUAGUUUUGAAAAAUUAAAACAUAAAUCUUAUAUGUUUGUUAUUGUUUUUUGGUUGUAUCGUAUAGUGGACUUCGUUAAUUUUAUAGUGAAUUUCGAUAAAUUCCGAUGGAGUUGCAAAUCAACGUUGAGGUUGUUUUUUUAACCACUUUUUUGUUGUCCUUUUUUAUUUAAUGGGAUUUUUUUCUUAUUCGAAUAGUUUAAUAGUGGAUUUAGAUAGUUACAUACUUGAUUAUGUUAAUUUGGUUGUGGAGUAAGUUAAUUUUCUAUUGAAUUUUGAUAAAUUUGUAGUGAAUUUCGAUAAUUGGAUUUCGAUAACUUUAUAGUGGAUUUCGAUAAGAUUUGAGUGGAUUUUAAGUUGCUUGGAAAGGGAGAUGUUUUGAAUCAAUUGAAUUGACAUGUCUUUGAUUUCUUUUUUCUUGUUACAGUUUCUUGACAGAUCAAGCAAUGGCGGCAGGGGGGAUGUUAGAUAAUGCAACGAGGUUAAGGAUGUUUUGUGUGAAUGGAGAAAGAAGGGUGCAAAUCGGCCACCAAGAAGGCAAGAGACUUAGUUGGAAACAUGUGGCACCACUGGGAGUUCCACGAGAGAGGGUUUGUCGUUGAACGUAUGUUUUGGGCAUUCGCGGAUAACACUUAAGUGGUGGUGUUGCCGUAGUACAAUACCCGGAAUGACGCAUCGCGAUCCUUUUACGUGGUGGUGGUGGUGCACUUUUCCUGGACCAAAUAGUGGAUUUACGUUUUGAAUUAGUGGAUUUAUGAAUAGUGGAUUAGCGGGUUUUUUCGUUGUUUUUCGAGUUGUGUUAGUAGUGGAUUACGUUCAUUCAUAGUGGAUUUCAUAUGUUUUUAGUGGAUUUCGAUAAGUUUGUUGUGGACUAUGCUAAUAUUAAAGUGGAUUACGUUAAUAUUACCGUGAAUUUUAGGGUAAUUUAUAGUGGUU